rnacentral:rRNA from 1 species
AUUGAACGCUGGCGGCAUGCUUUACACAUGCAAGUCGAACGGUAACAGGCCGCAAGGUGCUGACGAGUGGCGAACGGGUGAGUAAUGCAUCGGAACGUGCCCAGUCGUGGGGGAUAACGCAGCGAAAGCUGCGCUAAUACCGCAUACGAUCUAUGGAUGAAAGCGGGGGACCGUAAGGCCUCGCGCGAUUGGAGCGGCCGAUGUCAGAUUAGGUAGUUGGUGGGGUAAAGGCUCACCAAGCCAACGAUCUGUAGCUGGUCUGAGAGGACGACCAGCCACACUGGGACUGAGACACGGCCCAGACUCCUACGGGAGGCAGCAGUGGGGAAUUUUGGACAAUGGGCGCAAGCCUGAUCCAGCAAUGCCGCGUGCAGGAAGAAGGCCUUCGGGUUGUAAACUGCUUUUGUACGGAACGAAACGGUCCUGGUUAAUACCCGGGGCUAAUGACGGUACCGUAAGAAUAAGCACCGGCUAACUACGUGCCAGCCGCCGCGGUAAUAC